GGGGGCCCGCACAAGCGGUGGAGCAUGUGGUUUAAUUCGAUGCAACGCGAAGAACCUUACCUGGUCUUGACAUCCACGGAAGUUUUCAGAGAUGAGAAUGUGCCUUCGGGAACCGUGAGACAGGUGCUGCAUGGCUGUCGUCAGCUCGUGUUGUGAAAUGUUGGGUUAAGUCCCGCAACGAGCGCAACCCUUAUCCUUUGUUGCCAGCGGUCCGGCCGGGAACUCAAAGGAGACUGCCAGUGAUAAACUGGAGGAAGGUGGGGAUGACGUCAAGUCAUCAUGGCCCUUACGACCAGGGCUACACACGUGCUACAAUGGCGCAUACAAAGAGAAGCGACCUCGCGAGAGCAAGCGGACCUCAUAAAGUGCGUCGUAGUCCGGAUUGGAGUCUGCAACUCGACUCCAUGAAGUCGGAAUCGCUAGUAAUCGUGGAUCAGAAUGCCACGGUGAAUACGUUCCCGGGCCUUGUACACACCGCCCGUCACACCAUGGGAGUGGGUUGCAAAAGAAGUAGGUAGCUUAACCUUCGGGAGGGCGCUUACCACUUUGUGAUUCAUGACUGGGGUGAAGUCGUAACAAGGUAACCGUAGGGGAACCUGCGGUUGGAUCACCUCCUUACCUUAAAGAA
rnacentral:rRNA from 1 species